rnacentral:rRNA from 1 species
GAUGAACGCUGGCGGCGUGCCUAACACAUGCAAGUCGAGCGAUUCUCUUCGGAGAAGAGCGGCGGACGAGUGAGUAACUCGUGGGUAACCUGCCAUGUACACACGGAUAACAUACCGAAAGGAAUGCUAAUACGAGAUAACAUAAGAAAUUCGCAUGAUUUUCUUAUCAAAGAUCCGGCGGUACAGGAUGGACCCGCGUCUGAGUAACUAGUUGGUGAGGUAAUGGCUCACCAAGGCGACGAUCAGUAGCCGACCUGAGAGGGUGAUCGGCCACAUUGGAACUGAGACACGGUCCAAACUCCUACGGGAGGCAGCAGUGGGGAAUAUUGCACAAUGGGCGAAAGCCUGAUGCAGCAACGCCGCGUGAGCGAUGAAGGCCUUCGGGUCGUAAAGCUCUGUCCUCAAGGAAGAUAAUGACGGUACUUGAGGAGGAAGCCCCGGCUAACUACGUGCCAGCCGCCGCAGUAA